GAGUAAAGACUGUUUACCAACGAAAUACACAAGCAGCCCUAUCUAAGAUCCAGAACUUGGGGGUCCCUAACUUUAAAUCGUGGGGUGCGCUGAUUGUUUGGGAUCCGCCUCAAGACUUCAGCCUAGGUCUACCUAGGAGAUACCUCUCAAAGACUGGAGCCAUUCUCGUGUCCAGGCCCAGGUUUGAGGCCGUGAUGACUCAACGCAGCAUCCCCUCCCCUUGCUAAACCACGGUCUCCGCCUACCCCCAAUCAAUCUCAAGGAAGCACUCGGGGCACCAGGAUUCCCAGCACUUAGCUGGUGGGCAAAGGGGCUCAUCCCCCUCCCCACAUCCCACCUUCCCUCCUCCCAGUCUUCAGGAGUGCGGAGCUCCUGCCGGGAUCCAAGAGCAGGCUCUUGGUAGUCGAAGAAGGAUAUAACCUCCAGACCUGGAAUUUUAAGACGCAAGAACCAGCCAGCAAAUGUGGCAGCCGAGCAUGCGAAUGAAGAUGCAGAAGUCUCAGCUCCUUCAGUGCUAUUGUCUGCCAGGAUGCUGCCAUGCUCCCUUCUUGAUGAUAAUGGACUGAACCUCUGACUCUGGAUGAGAAGCUACAGCUUUACUUCUGAAAAUUCACAAAGGAGUCCAUGUUCCAAGAUGAGAGAAAUACCAGAAGCCGAUGGUUAUUCUAUUUGACUGAAUGAAAAGAAAAGGAAGUCGCUUCCUGUCAAUCCUGCUUUGGAUUCCUGGACAGUUUAAGAAGCACCAUUGAUCUGAUCAUUGACACUGAGAAGGAAAUGUCCAUCCACUGAAGACACGUGGGGCUCCUCCCAGUUUGACAUGGGCAGCGGGGUGGGCAGAAGACAGCAGUCCCAGGUACCCAGUACCCAGUUCACAGUGGGUACCUGGCACAGGCAGACAGCAAGCAAUGGGCCAGCAGAAGGAACUGCUUGGUCAGCACAGGUGCUUUCACCAGAUAAAGUGGGGUCACCUUUUAACUCCUCGGGUGGAAUUACCCAACUGGCAGCAAAUUGCUUCUGUGAAAUCUUCUUGCUGUUUGGGAUGUAUCCUUCUAUAGCACAGAAACGGAAACUUCAGCCAGAAGAGUGGAAUUCAGGGACUCCAUGCCAACAGAAACAGAGCUCUGCAUUUGUUUCCUGAGCCUCCUUGCACAUGGAAGGUUUCUUUCCUCACAAGAAACAUGUGUUAAAGGAUACUAAAGUGGCUUUCAGUUUGGGGUUAGAACCUGAAACAGAAAGACAACGGAGACAAACUUCAGCUCAGCUUUCCUAGAUUGGAAAUGAUGCGUGAAUUUUGCUGUUUCUCCCAGAUUUCAGAACAGGUAUGACAUGGUGCUUAAUUUAAUCAUCCAGUGAAUCACCUUUUCUCUGUGGGAUAUUAACACUGAUGUAAGAUGUCUCCAUGUGAGGAACGGGAAAGACUUGAGACACAGAAAAGCUUCCAAGAUUGGUAAAUAGAAUAAUGUGGUCUGUACCCCACUAAUUUUUCUUGCCAUCCCUGAGAGGUCCUGUGGGCUGUAGCGAUGCAUCAUUUAGAUAGCCCCUUCAGCUGGUUCAUGGAAAACUAACAAAAAUUGAUGUUGUUAUCUGAGGUUUUCUUGUGUGAUUUGUCUAACUCUUUACAUUUAUUAAGGGUUUUGCCUUUCUUUAAUAAAAUGGCCCGAUAUUGCCUUC
rnacentral:lncRNA from 1 species